rnacentral:rRNA from 1 species
AUUGAACGCUGGCGGCAGGCCUAACACAUGCCAGUCGAGCGGAUGAAGGGAGCUUGCUCCUAGAUUCAGCGGCGGACGGGUGAGUAAUGCCUAGGAAUCUGCCUGGUAGUGGGGGAUAACGUCCGGAAACGGGCGCUAAUACCGCAUACGUCCUGAGGGAGAAAGUGGGGGAUCUUCGGACCUCACGCUAUCAGAUGAGCCUAGGUCGGAUUAGCUAGUUGGUGGGGUAAAGGCCUACCAAGGCGACGAUCCGUAACUGGUCUGAGAGGAUGAUCAGUCACACUGGAACUGAGACACGGUCCAGACUCCUACGGGAGGCAGCAGUGGGGAAUAUUGGACAAUGGGCGAAAGCCUGAUCCAGCCAUGCCGCGUGUGUGAAGAAGGUCUUCGGAUUGUAAAGCACUUUAAGUUGGGAGGAAGGGCAGUAAGUUAAUACCUUGCUGUUUUGACGUUACCAACAGAAUAAGCACCGGCUAACUUCGUG